rnacentral:rRNA from 1 species
CCUACGGGUGGCAGCAGUGGGGAAUAUUGGACAAUGGGGGGAACCCUGAUCCAGCCAUGCCGCGUGUGUGAAGAAGGCCCUCGGGUUGUAAAGCACUUUCAGUGAGGAAGAACGCCUGGUGGUUAAUACCCAUCAGGAAAGACAUCACUCACAGAAGAAGCACCGGCUAACUCCGUGCCAGCAGCCGCGGUAAUACGGAGGGUGCGAGCGUUAAUCGGAAUUACUGGGCGUAAAGCGCGCGUAGGCGGCUUGAUAAGCCGGUUGUGAAAGCCCCGGGCUCAACCUGGGAACGGCAUCCGGAACUGUCAAGCUAGAGUGCAGGAGAGGAAGGUAGAAUUCCCGGUGUAGCGGUGAAAUGCGUAGAGAUCGGGAGGAAUACCAGUGGCGAAGGCGGCCUUCUGGACUGACACUGACACUGAGGUGCGAAAGCGUGGGUAGCAAACAGGAUUAGAUACCCCUGUAGUC